rnacentral:rRNA from 1 species
GAUUAACGCUGGCGGCGUGCUUAACACAUGCAAGUCGAACGGUGAAGCAGAGCUUGCUCUGUGGGUCAGUGGCGAACGGGUGAGUAACACGUGAGCAACCUGCCCCUGACUCUGGGAUACGCGCUGGAAACGGCGUCUAAUACUGGAUAUGAGCUGCGACCGCAUGGUCAGCAGUUGGAAAGAUUUUUCGGUCUGGGAUGGGCUCACGGCAUAUCAGCUUGUUGGUGAGGUAAUGGCUCACCAAGGCGACGACGGGUAGCCGGCCUGAGAGGGUGACCGGCCACACUGGGACUGAGACACGGCCCAGACUCCUACGGGAGGCAGCAGUGGGGAAGGGUGCACAAUGGGCGAAAGCCUGAUGCAGCAACGCCGCGUGAGGGAUGACGGCCUUCGGGUUGUAAACCUCUUUUAGCAGGGAAGAAGCGAAAGCGACGGUACCUGCAGAAAAAGCGCCGGCUAACUACGUG